CAUUAACGUAAGAUAUUUAGAGUCUUGAGACUGUGUCCAAAUGGCGCGUGCUCGACUCCUUUAUUCUUUAUCCACACACACCUCUGUGCACUAUGGGAUGUAAAAAUCCCCUUUUCAUACAAAAACCGAGUUUUAUGCAUGGUAUUUAUGCUCUAYGGAGUAACAUACAACUUUCAACAACGGAUCUCUUGGCUUUCGCAUCGAUGAAGAACGCAGCGAACGUGCGAAACGUAAUGUGAAUUGCAGAAUUCAGUGAAUCAUCGAAUCUUUGAACGCAUCUUGCGCUCCUUGGCAUUCCGAGGAGCAUGCCUGUUUGAGUGUCGUGGAAUACUCAAUUUCAUUCUCUUUUGUUUGAAAUUGGACUUGGAUGCUGUUGUGCGUCACAACUCGUCCCAAAUGUAUUAGCGAUCUGCCUUGAUCACGCACAGUGUGAUAAGAAAAAAAAAAGCAUUGUCGAGGUCGAGUAAAAAGUCGCUUCCAAUUGUCGAAAGACAAAUUAUCAUGUCAUUUGACCUCAAAUCAGGUAGGAC
rnacentral:rRNA from 1 species